AUGCUCGCUUCAGGAGCACAUAUACUAAAAUUGGAAAGAUAGAGAGAUUAGCAUGGUCCCUGCUCAAGAAUGACACGCAAAUUCAUGAAGCGGUCCAUAUUAAA